UACAGAGGUCUCAAGCGUUGUUCGGAUUUACUGGGCGUAAAGGGCGCGCAGGCGGCUCAUUUUGUCAGGCGUGAAAGCCCCGGGCUUAACCUGGGAACUGCGUUUGAUACGGAUGGGCUAGAGUUCGGGAGAGGAGAGUGGAAUUCCCAGUGUAGAGGUGAAAUUCGUAGAUAUUGGGAAGAACACCGGUGGCGAAGGCGGCUUGCUGGGCCUUACCUGACGCUGAGGAGCGAAAGCGUGGGGAGCGAACAGG
rnacentral:rRNA from 1 species